rnacentral:rRNA from 1 species
UACAGAGGGUGCAAGCGUUAAUCGGAAUUACUGGGCGUAAAGCGCGCGUAGGUGGUUGUGUAAGUUGGAUGUGAAAGCCCCGGCGUUAACCUGGGAACGUGCAUUCAAAACUAGACAAGCUAGAGUAUGGUAGAGGGUGGUGGAAUUUCCUGUGUAGCGGUGAAAUGCGUAGAUAUAGGAAGGAACACCAGUGGCGAAGGCGACCACCUGGACUGAUACUGACACUGAGGUGCGAAAGCGUGGGGAGCAAACAGGAUUAGAUACCCCAGUAGU